rnacentral:rRNA from 1 species
AUUGAACGCUGGCGGCAGGCCUAACACAUGCGAGUCGAGCGAGCGGCGGACGGGUGAGUAAUUUCUGGGCAACUGCCUGAUGGAGGGGGAUAACUACUGGAAACGGUAGCUAAUACCGCAUACCAUCUGAUGUGCCCAGAUGGGAUUGGCUAGUAGGUGGGGUAACGGCUAACCUAGGCAACGCUCCCUAGCUGUUCUGAGAGGAUGACCAGCCACACUGGAACUGAGACACGGCCCAGAUUCCUACGGGAGGCAGCAGUGGGGAAUAUGGCACAAUGGGCGCAAGCCUGAUGCAGCCAUGCCGCGUGUGUGAAGAAGUCCUUCGGGUUGUAAAGCACUUUCAGCGGGGAGGCGUUACCCGCAGAAGAAGCACCGGCUAACUCCGUGCCAGCAGCCGCGGUAAUUC